AUUGAACGCUGGCGGCAUGCCUUACACAUGCAAGUCGAGCGGCAGCGCGGGGGCAACCCUGGCGGCGAGCGGCGGACGGGUGAGUAAUGCAUCGGAACGUGUCCUCUUGUGGGGGAUAACCAGUCGAAAGAUUGGCUAAUACCGCAUGAGCUCGCAAGAGGAAAGCAGGGGACCCGCAAGGGCCUUGCGCGAGAGGAGCGGCCGAUGCCCGAUUAGCUAGUUGGUGGGGUAAUAGCCCACCAAGGCGACGAUCGGUAGCUGGUCUGAGAGGACGACCAGCCACACUGGGACUGAGACACGGCCCAGACUCCUACGGGAGGCAGCAGUGGGGAAUUUUGGACAAUGGGGAAACCCUGAUCCAGCCGUGCCGCGUGUGUGAAGAAGGCCU
rnacentral:rRNA from 1 species